rnacentral:lncRNA from 1 species
AUUAAUGCUUGAAUCAUUCCAUCUUUUAGCUGUGGUAAAACAUGUACACUGAUUUUAGUUUCCCUAACAUCUUCUUGAUCCCCUAGAUUUAUUGGCUCAGUCUCAUUCAAAUUAGAAUUCGGUUUGUCUUCAAACUGUUCCAACUCUUUGCUUAUUUCUUCUAGUGCUUCUUCUUCAUCAUAUUCCCCAUCCUGAUUCAUUACAUCUUGAUUAGUUUGGAUUUUAAGAUCAGGCUGAAAAUUCCGCAUGUAUGUCAUGUCAUUAGAAUCA